AGACAGGAAUGUGUUGUUGUUAUUGGAGACAAGGCAGAGAUAUUGUUGUUGUUGUGUGGGAGACGAGCAGGAGUGUUGUUCUUUGUUGUUAUUGCAGAGCAGGAGUAUUGUUAUUGUGGGGCAGAGCAGGGUAUUAUUGUUGUUAUUGGAGACAGGCAGGAGUAUUGUUGUUGUUGUUAUUGGAGACAGGCAGGAGUAUUGUUGUUGUUGGAGACAGGCAGGAGUAUUGUUGUUGUUGUUGGAGGCAGAGUGUGCUGCUGUUUGUGGAACCAGGGCAGGACUACUGUUGUUGUGGAGACAGGAGUAUUGUUGUUUGUUGUUGGAGACCAGCUAGGAAA
rnacentral:lncRNA from 1 species